UACGUAGGGUGCGAGCGUUAAUCGGAAUUACUGGGCGUAAAGCGUGCGCAGGCGGUUCGUUGUGUCGGCGGUGAAAGCCCCGGGCUUAACCUGGGAAUGGCCGUCGAAACUGGUGAACUGGAGCGUGGCAGAGGGGGGUGGAAUUCCGCGUGUAGCAGUGAAAUGCGUAGAGAUGCGGAGGAACACCGAUGGCGAAGGCGGGUCUCUGGGCCGUAACUGACGCUGAGGAGCGAAAGCAUGGGGAGCGAACAGG
rnacentral:rRNA from 1 species